AUUGAACGCUGGCGGAAUGCUUUACACAUGCAAGUCGAACGGCAGCACGGGGGCAACCCUGGUGGCGAGUGGCGAACGGGUGAGUAAUACAUCGGAACGUGCCCAGUCGUGGGGGAUAACGUAGCGAAAGCUACGCUAAUACCGCAUACGAUCUACGGAUGAAAGCGGGGGAUCGCAAGACCUCGCGCGAUUGGAGCGGCCGAUGGCAGAUUAGGUAGUUGGUGGGGUAAAGGCUCACCAAGCCGACGAUCUGUAGCUGGUCUGAGAGGACGACCAGCCACACUGGGACUGAGACACGGCCCAGACUCCUACGGGAGGCAGCAGUGGGGAAUUUUGGACAAUGGGCGCAAGCCUGAUCCAGCCAUUCCGCGUGCAGGAUGAAGGCCCUUCGGUUGGUAAACUAGCUUUUGUUGUCGGACGAAAACGGCCGUUUCUAAUACAAGAGGCUAAUAGACGGUACCGUAAGAAUAAAGAC
rnacentral:rRNA from 1 species